GACGAACGCUGGCGGCGUGCUUAACACAUGCAAGUCGAACGGAAAGGCCCUGCUUUUGUGGGGUGCUCGAGUGGCGAACGGGUGAGUAACACGUGAGUAACCUGCCCUUGACUUUGGGAUAACUUCAGGAAACUGGGGCUAAUACCGGAUAGGAGCUCCUGCUGCAUGGCGGGGGUUGGAAAGUUUCGGCGGUUGGGGAUGGACUCGCGGCUUAUCAGCUUGUUGGUGGGGUAGUGGCUUACCAAGGCUUUGACGGGUAGCCGGCCUGAGAGGGUGACCGGCCACAUUGGGACUGAGAUACGGCCCAGACUCCUACGGGUGGCAGCAGUGGGGAAUAUUGCACAAUGGGCGGAAGCCUGAUGCAGCAACGCCGCGUGCGGGAUGACGGCCUUCGGGUUGUAAACCGCUUUCGCCUGUGACGAAGCGUGAGUGACGGUAAUGGGUAAAGAAGCACCGGCUAACUACGUG
rnacentral:rRNA from 1 species